UACGUAGGGUGCGAGCGUUACUCGGAAUUACUGGGCGUAAAGCGUGCGCAGGCGGUUUUGUAAGCCAGAUGUGAAAGCCCCGGGCUCAACCUGGGAAUGGCAUUUGGGACUGCAAGGCUGGAGUAUGGCAGAGGAGACUAGAAUUCCUGGUGUAGCAGUGAAAUGCGUAGAUAUCAGGAGGAAUACCGAUGGCGAAGGCAGGUCUCUGGGCCAACACUGACGCUCAGGCACGAAAGCGUGGGGAGCAAACAGG
rnacentral:rRNA from 1 species